rnacentral:lncRNA from 1 species
GGGGGGUUACGUGGACAUUUUUACGAAUUAAAUUAGCUAACUAGAACACUAAUUAAAACACACUAGAAAUUAACAUGCAAUUAAAUGUAGUAUAGACUAGGAAGUGACUCCUAGGUCGUCUCUCAAGGACCAAAUGAGGUUUAGGCAAUAGGUCAAAAAUGUAGAAAGGGGGUUACGUGGACAAUUUUACGAAUUAAAUUAGCUAACUAGAACACUAAUUAAAACACACUAGAGAUUAAAAACAGAUCGACAUUAGUUCGAUUGUAAUUGUUUCCAAUCCUUGAUUACCAAAAAUUAUCCUUGAUUACCCCAAUCCAACACAAAUUAAACGACUAAGCGAAGUCUAAAGCGGUUUUCAUGAAAUGCGCAUUAAGCAAAAACACUCACACAUAUUCACUCAAUUUUGCACAAACACAUUAAUCAAUUAAGCGAAGAUUAUCAUGCUCAAAUUAGACCACUAAGGGAGGACCAAUUACAUAUAACAGAUUGCAUAUGUGUGGGGAAUUAAGAACUUGCAACCUCACUAAUUCAAGCACAAUUAGCAAAACUAGGAAAAUAAUGGACACUCAAGCAUAAUUCCCUAAUUAAAUGUAGUACAAUAAGCUUAGUGAAGUCAAGAAUAUAUUGAUUCAUCAAAACAGACCACACUUAGUCUUUUGCACUCCUGGGCAAAAUUAAGACGCAAAUUGAUGGGAGUCGCCGCCCAAUCAAAUUUGAUUGCAUAAUAAAAUGCAGUAUAGUGCUAGGGAAUGACCCCUAGGUCGUCUCUCAAGGACCAACUGCGGUUCAGAAUCAAGUCAAACACGAAGUGGGGGGGUUUUGUGAAAGUGUUUUUGUGAUUCAAAAUGAACGAAAUUAAAUGCAGGGAAAUUACACACAGCNGAACAAGAUUUAAAGCAUUGAAGUAAAGACUGAAAUUAAAAUAAAAACAAAAAUAAAAGAUAAGUCACUAAAAGAAAAAGAAACAAGUGGAAAUUUGUUACUCAUGCAAUCUAUGCUAAGGAAAAUGGAAGACGAAAUCAACAUGAUGAAUCAAGGCACCAGCCCGACAGUGAUAAGGAGCUAGCAUAAUAGACUAAGUGGUCUAUCUUAAGAAAAUAAUAAAAUGCAUGAUUUCAUAAGCUCGGAGGCACCACAGCUGGAAUAAAAAAAAUGCUAAAAUGAACAAACCAAUUGGAAAGCAAUGGAUAAAACAUGGAACAUAUUUAAAGCUUAAUNAAAGCAUAAUGCAACGAAAAUAAUCUUUCAAGGCCAAACACGCAUGGGCAGUAAAGGAUUCAACUAGGAUUUGUAAAAAAAAUAAUGAAACAUUGAAAGACGCAAAAUGAUUAAUAAACUAAAAUAAGGUUAAAAUUAAGCAGUCACCUCAAUUUUUUUAGCUCUUCUCGGUUCAAACUUAAGAAUAAUAAAGCUAAGAUCUUUUGGACUUUUCUCUCAUGUACGUGACAGGGAGGUAAAAAGUGAUGAGUAAGCUGCUUGAUUAAAAGAUAAUAAAUGAAAGAACAUUAAAAAAAAGCCAUAUGCUUAAAUUGAUUUGACAGCAGCGCUAUGCUUAAAUUCAUAUGCUAAAACNUCAUAUGCUUGAAUUGAAUUGCAUUUCAACACCGUGAAACUUCUCAAAAUUGAUAUGAAAGUAGCGUUCCCCAUUCGUAAAGCUGGCAGCAGCUGGAAUCUAACAAAAAAANAUAUUCAACCUUAACACCUUGAAAGGAGCAUAUGCGUGAAUUUCAUCUGUACCCAGNCAGCUGUGUGCUUCAAUUGAAAUGGAAAUGAAGAUGAAAUUAGCCCUCCAACAAAUAGAAGAAAACUUCCAGGCCGUGAAACACAAGUUUCGUGUGCGCCUAAAUCAACAUUCUUUUCACUGAAUCACCGUUUUCNAGCAAAGAAAAGAAAUGGAAAUUACCGUGCACAACUUGCUCUGUAAAUCACCUAUGUGCUUAAGAAAAUAAAUUGGCUGUGAAUCAUUAUACGAAGACUGUGUUGCAGCACACCAAUUACCGAACUCUCACAAAACAAAAAUAUAGAAAUUUGCUUUCAUCCAUAUUCAUAAACUGCAAACAUCUCUUCCAAGAAGAAAAAAAAUACUUAACAAGCGUUCCAGCUCCAAAAACCCUUUGCCGAGAGCAUGUGCCAAGCCCAAAAAAUUUUGAUUGACGGCUGCAAUCCCUAGGACCUAAUAUGUGUCAUGAAAAAUGGGUGGGGUUCACCCUAAAGAAACCCUAAAGUGCCAAAUCAUCCUACUCUACAAUUUGGGCUUAAACUAUUUUACCAAAAAUUGACCCAUUGUUUACAAAUUUAAUUAAAACUAUCUAGACUACUAAGUUUCAAAGUAAUUAAAUUUGAAAUGUCCAUGUGAAGAGUCUUGACUUAUUUGAUAGCACUCCAAAUGUCCCAAAUUGUGUUUCCAAAAUUUUCCCUGCAAAUAAUAAUGCAAAUAAUUAGCUCAGAAAAUUCAAAUUAAUUAAAAUUCGAAUUUCCGAUCAAAUUAAGCACAAUUAGCAGAAACGGGAAAAUACCGGACAUUUAAGCACGAUUCCCUGAUUAAAUUUGGUACAAUAAACUAAGUGUAGUCAAUAAAAUAUCGACUCAUCACAAAUAAAGGGUGAACAUCAAAGGACAUCAGGGGAGUGACACAGCCUAAGCACAUAGAAACAAAAACACACACAAAUAGAUUUAGACAACCCUCAAUGAAUCCUGGGAAAAGAAAAGGGAUAAACAACAUCCAACACACAAAGAAUCAGAGAAACUAGAUACUCACGGUAAUCAUCCAAGCAAUUCCAAACAUGGGAAAAUAGUCAAUCAGCUCAAGAGGUGAAUCAAAAGCAAUAUGACCUCACAAAUGCACUAUAACUGUAUCUCUCAAGUGUCUAAGAUAAACAAUGUCAACUCAAUGCACUCAAGAAAGCAAACACAAUCAGACUUGGCAAGUCUCUAAUAUCAACCCUCAAAACCUAUGCAUGUUCAAAUCAAAAGGUCUUUUUAAGGUUGUAAUGGGGUCAAGGACAAGGGAGGAUAAAAAUAUGGAUGAGAAGCUAUAAACCGAAAGGAAUAGAGGAGCAAUGGGGAACAAGUGAAACCAUAAUUAAAUCACACCCGAAACCUCUAAUUCAAUCCUCUUCUUGACUCCAUUAUUAAAUUUUUUUUAUUUUUCUGACUUUUUUCUAUUUUUUUCUUUCUUUUCUUGUCUUGUUUAUUUCCUUUUCUCUCUUUUUCUAGAACACAACUGACUGUAAGAGACAAGAUCCACAACAUAUUUUCAACACAAC